AGGUCUGAGCCUUUCUUAGGCAUGCAGACCUAAAACCAUCCAUGCUAUUGUUGCAUCAUGAGGUGGCAGUUCAGUGAAGUAUUCUUGUAUAGUCAGUUAAGGAUCCAAUGGCAAACUGCUACAGAGGACAACAGAGCACAGGAGAGCUGGUUGAACAUCCUUGGAGAAUAAAAGCAGUCCUUUUUGAUACGCAGGAAGCUACCCACAACACCUUCUAUUGUGCAUACCCCAAGAUACCUGCUGACCUGACAAGUUAAGGACAUGUGCUCUUUUCAGAAACCUCCUCAUGACUGUCUUCACUCCUCCUGUUCCUAUUUCUUUCAUCUUGCUUACAGUAUGAUAAGAAGGCAAUGUUAAGAAAAAACAGUGUAGGUGAGGAACAGAGUAGGUGUAAAACUGCUGUCUUUAUUUUAGACAUAGAUUAAGAUUUGGACUAAAAAUCUAUUGAGACUGUAUUGAGGAAUUUUGUGUUCUCUGUUAGGAUUCUAAAGACUGUAAAUUGCAUGCAUUAUUAGUACUAGUACUGAUAUUAACAUCUCAGCUGGAUUGCAAUAAAUUGUUACUAGAAGCAUAUAGAUAUAAUUUAUAAUGUUGUUUUGCCAAAGCUUUCACUUUUGAAAUAAAAGGCAGAUCUCAUUUGAAUGAGACCCUUUACUCUUGCAUGUUUCCCUGAGUGCUAUGCCAAUCAUAAAAACUGCUCUGUUGUAUCUUUAACAAUGGACAAAACCAUGACAAGAAAAUCAAAGCUUUGGUAUUUAUAUUUAAAUAUAUCUUAAUUUUAGUUAUGUAUUUAUUUGUAAUGAGAAAGGCGGAAUGAGUAUGGAACUGAGAGAUGAGAAGAGAAAUGUAACUUUAAGAUUUUUCAGGGAUGCUAUUGGUGUAUUUUUAUACUUGAACAUUCCAGGAACCUGAGAUACGUUUGCUUUCAGAUUUUUCUUUGCUUUGUCUAUUAAUAUCUUAUAUAUGGGAUUAGUUAAUAUCUUAUAUAAGGGAAUACUGAGAAAUACUGAACUGCAUAUUUUUGAAAGAGUACUCUGGAGUUUUAGGACUUCUUAAGUUAAUGAAGGUACCCAGUGUUCUACCAUUAUUAUUUUUAUUUUCCUCAGCCUGUCUGCUACCAACAAUCUUUGCACUAAAACAAACUGAUACUAUGAAAACAAGAAAAACAAUAACACUCUACAGAAACACCUAUGGGAAUGUCUGACAGGUGAAUGUCCAGACACAAGUAGCUUGUUAUAUGCUCAUUCCUCAUACUCAGAAUGAGAAAGUAGCAGAAAUUACUGAUGUAUGAAGGUGCUUAGUCCUAUUAAGAUCCAGCUUUACUGAUUUGGGCUUAACAGACUCAUCUGGACUUAAAGACAUUUAAAAGUGUCUGUUAAUGGCAUCAGUGAUUGAAAUCUGAUAAUGCUGCAUGAAGAGAUUCCAUGUGUUUUGACUUCUUGUGCCUUCUGUAUAGUGUACAAAUUCCAUGCCAUUUCAUUCUUUUGAUAGAACCUACGUCUAUAUAUACAUUGCAUGUUUGCAUUAUUGGUAGAAUAAAACUUCUCUUGAAUGG
ensembl:lncRNA